CCUACGGGAGGCAGCAGUGGGGAAUAUUGGACAAUGGGCGAAAGCCUGAUCCAGCAAUGCCGCGUGAGUGAUGAAGGCCUUAGGGUUGUAAAGCUCUUUUACCAGGGAUGAUAAUGACAGUACCUGGAGAAUAAGCUCCGGCUAACUCCGUGCCAGCAGCCGCGGUAAUACGGAGGGAGCUAGCGUUGUUCGGAAUUACUGGGCGUAAAGCGUACGUAGGCGGUUAUUCAAGUCAGAGGUGAAAGCCUGGAGCUCAACUCCAGAACUGCCUUUGAAACUAGAUAGCUAGAAUCUUGGAGAGGUGAGUGGAAUUCCGAGUGUAGAGGUGAAAUUCGUAGAUAUUCGGAAGAACACCAGUGGCGAAGGCGACUCACUGGACAAGUAUUGACGCUGAGGUACGAAAGCGUGGGGAGCAAACAGGAUUAGAUACCCUGGUAGUCCACGCCGUAAACGAUGAUAACUAGCUGUUCGGGCUCUACGAGCUUGAGUGGCGCAGCUAACGCAUUAAGUUAUCCGCCUGGGGAGUACGGUGCAAGNUUAAAACCUUAAAUGAAUUGACCGGNUGAGACGNGCGAGGACGACGACGAGGGAGGAGG
rnacentral:rRNA from 1 species